UACGUAGGGUGCGAGCGUUUGUCCGGGAUUUAUUGGGCGUAAAGAGCUCGUAGGCGGUUUGUCGCGUCGGCCGUGAAAUCUCCACGCUUAACGUGGAGCGUGCGGUCGAUACGGGGCAGACUUGAGUUCGGGUAGGGGAGACUGGAAUUCCUGGUGUAGGCGGUGAAAUGCGCAGAUAUCAGGAGGAACACCGGUGGCGAAGGCGGGUCUCUGGGCCGAUGACUGACGUGAGGUGCGAAAGCGUGGGGGAGCAA
rnacentral:rRNA from 1 species